GAAGGAGAAAGAUGAUGCAAGCUGUCUCAUUCACUGCUGACCGAGCUUCUUACUCAGGACACGACAGAACUUGACUGCAAAAGCAAGAAUCUCUUACAGCAGACACAGACUUUGAUGCAUGCUGCACACAUAAGCACACAGAUGAAGCAUUUUGUGUCUACUAUCACAAAAGAUAUAUUUUCAGCAGAAGACAGAAUGUGUGGACUGCCCCUGUUCUAUCCUGCACGAAUUCACAGGUAUCUAGGGGAGCAUUAUGCAUCAAUUAAAGCUGUUGGAUGCUGAUCCUUGGUUUCUGUGACUCCCAAGGCACUCAGAAAACAAUCAACAAAUGAAGGCUGUUACAAGAAGUACUGAUUGAAAAACAGUCCAAGACAAGAAAAUCUGAGAGCCGGCCACAUCAAUUUGGGGUCUGCAGGACCCAGAUACAGAGCAGGAUUGCUGAAACACAUGUAGGCUUAGAAACCAAAUGUGACUGGUAACAUUGCUUGAGAAAGAAAACCAUCUCUAGGCUGGACACAUUCUGCAGAAUAGAAGCAAAACCACAUGGCAAAAAUUUGGAACAUGCAGUGAUUUUCUCCCA